AACUUUCAACAAUAAACAUUUCUAUUCACACCAACGGCAACAGCGGUCCACAGGUGCGGAAGAGACACAGGUGCAGAAACGAGGGUCGUAUCUAACACGUAUAUAACUACGGAGUUCUUACGACACAUCCCUACGAGACACAACGAUUCUCUGCCAGCCGCCAAGAUGAAGACCCAACGCAGCUUUCUCAUUGCAUUGGCAGUCCUCUUCCUCUCAACGAUUGCUUGGGCCGACAUGGAGAAUUCAACUAUGGAGGAAGAGGGUAAGAGAGGAAAAAGAGAAUAAAUCAGAAAAUAAAAAAGAGAGAGAGAAAAAGGGA